rnacentral:siRNA from 1 species
GUGGUUCAGUUGUGAGUGCAUGGU